rnacentral:rRNA from 1 species
CGCAUCUGUGCAUGCAGCAUAUCAAUAAGCGGAGGAAAAGAAACUAACAAGGAUUCCCUUAGUAACGGCGAGUGAAGCGGGAAGAGCUCAAAUUUGAAAUCUUCAAGGUUUUACCUUGACGAAUUGUAGUUUAAAGAAGUGUUUUCUGUUGAAGUUUUGGUAAAAGUUCUUUGGAAUAGGACAUCAUAGAGGGUGAGAAUCCCGUAUUUGACCAUUAUUUUCAGCUGUGUGAUACACUUUCAAAGAGUCGGAUUGUUUGGGAAUGCAGUCCAAAAUGGGUGGUAAAUUUCAUCUAAAGCUAAAUAUUGGCGAGAGACCGAUAGCGAACAAGUACCGUGAGGGAAAGAUGAAAAGAACUUUGAAAAGAGAGUUAAACAGUACGUGAAAUUGUCAAAAGGGAAGCGUUUGACACCAGUGUUGUUUUCUCGAAAAUCAAUUAAAAAGAGUUAGAUUUUGUUGUGUAUUGACCUUAACAGCUUGCAUUUCAAUUUUCUUGCUUUUUUUAAUGCACUUUUCGUUUAACAAGUCAACAUCAGUUUCUUUUGUUGUAAAAAGGUCAUUGGAAGGUGGCUUUCUUUUCGGAGAAAGUGUUUAUAGCCUUUGACUCCUGCAAUCGGAGAGACUGAGGUCUGCAGCGUAGAUCCUUCGGGGUUAGAUACAUUUGUGCUAAGUUAUAGCUUUUUAUAGACAACUUGUUGACUAUGAUUAGUCUUGUAGCUUACUCGCUUAUGCUAUUUUACCUACGCUUAGGAUGUUGACACACGCGCGUGCUCGAUGAUAGUCUAUAAUGACGUAUAGGCAUAUCAAUAAGCGGAGGAAAAGUACCUACGCUUAGGAUGUUGACACACGCGCGUGCUCGACUCUAUACAUGACUCUGCAGCAUAUCAAUAAGCGGAGGAAAAGGCUGCGGAACUGAACGACCGCUACCUACGCUUAGGAUGUUGACGAGACUGUCGAUUUCAUACAUGACUCUGUGCAUAUCAAUAAGCGGAGGAAAAGGUAAAUGCUGUAUACCUACGCUUAGGAUGUUGAGCGCAUGUCUCUCUCU